rnacentral:rRNA from 1 species
AGCAGCCGCGGUAAUUCCAGCUCCAAUAGCGUAUAUUAAAGUUGUUGCAGUUAAAAAGCUCGUAGUUGAAUUUCGGGGUCAGUAGGUUGGUCGUGCCACCGGUACGUACUGGUCUCACUGAUUCCUCCUUCCUGAUGAGCUGUAAUGCCAUUAAUUUGGUGUUGCAGGGAAUCUGGACUGUUACUUUGAAAAAUUGAGUGUUUAAAGCAGGCUAACGCUUGAAUACAUUAGCAUGGAAUAAUGAAAUAGGACGUUCGAUCCUAUUUUGUUGGUUUCUAGGAUUGACGUAAUGAUUAAUAGGGAUAGUUGGGGGCAUUAGUAUUCAAUUGUCGGAGGUGAAAUUCUUGGAUUUAUUGAAGACUAACUACUGCGAAAGCAUUUGCCAAGGAUGUUUUCAUUAAUCAAGAACGAAAGUUAGGGGAUCGAAGACGAUCAGAUACCGUCGUAGUCUUAACCAUAAACUAUGCCGACUAGGAAUCAGACGAUGUUAAUUUUUAAUGUACUCG